AUGGCCAGCCGUGUCCCGGGGUGCAGGGCCAAGGAUCCAGAGGCAGGAGAACAAGGGGCCCGUGGGGAGCCCCAGGCAGGGCUGCCAGCCGUGGUGGGCAUGCGAGGGCAGUUUAAGGGCCCUGAGCUGAGCAGCGGGGCCCAGGUCCAAGGGAACAAGCCGGCGGACCCUGGGGGUCUCACAGCCUCCUCUCUUGCAGCCUCCACCACGGCCCCCUCGGUUUUCCCACUGGCCCCCAGCUGCGGGUCCACUUCCGGCUCCACGGUGGCCCUGGCCUGCCUGGUGUCAGGCUACUUCCCCGAGCCUGUAACUGUGUCCUGGAAUUCCGGCUCCUUGACCAGCGGUGUGCACACCUUCCCGUCCGUCCUGCAGUCCUCAGGGCUCUACUCCCUCAGCAGCAUGGUGACAGUGCCCUCCAGCAGAUGGCCCAGUGAGACCUUCACCUGCAACGUGGUCCACCCGGCCAGCAACACUAAAGUAGACAAGCCAGUGUUCAAUGAAUGCAGAUGCACUGAUACACCCCCAUGCCCAGUCCCUGAACCUCUGGGAGGGCCUUCGGUCCUCAUCUUUCCCCCGAAACCCAAGGACAUCCUCAGGAUUACCCGAACACCCGAGGUCACCUGUGUGGUGUUAGAUCUGGGCCGUGAGGACCCUGAGGUGCAGAUCAGCUGGUUCGUGGAUGGUAAGGAGGUGCACACAGCCAAGACGCAGUCUCGUGAGCAGCAGUUCAACGGCACCUACCGUGUGGUCAGCGUCCUCCCCAUUGAGCACCAGGACUGGCUCACAGGGAAGGAGUUCAAGUGCAGAGUCAACCACAUAGACCUCCCAUCUCCCAUCGAGAGGACCAUCUCUAAGGCCAGAGGGAGGGCCCAUAAGCCCAGUGUGUAUGUCCUGCCACCAUCCCCAAAGGAGUUGUCAUCCAGUGACACAGUCAGCGUCACCUGCCUGAUAAAAGACUUCUACCCACCUGACAUUGAUGUGGAGUGGCAGAGCAAUGGACAGCAGGAGCCUGAGAGGAAGCACCGCAUGACCCCGCCCCAGCUGGACGAGGACGGGUCCUACUUCCUGUACAGCAAGCUCUCUGUGGACAAGAGCCGCUGGCAGCAGGGAGACCCCUUCACAUGUGCGGUGAUGCAUGAAACUCUACAGAACCACUACACAGAUCUAUCCCUCUCCCAUUCUCCGGGUAAAUGAGCAACACGCCCGGCACCCAGCAAGCCCCCCACCCUUGGCUCUCAGGAUCCCCUGAGGACACCUGAGCCCCUGUCCCUGUGUACAUAACCCUGGGUAGGCACCCAUCAUGAAAUAAAGCACCCAGCACUGCCCUGGGCCCUGCA